rnacentral:rRNA from 1 species
GUCAAGUCAUCAUGCCCCUUAUGUCUUGGGCUGCAAACAUGCUACAAUGGCCGGUACAGAGGGCUGCGAUACCGUGAGGUGGAGCGAAUCCCUAAAAGCCGGUCUCAGUUCGGAUCGAAGUCUGCAACUCGACUUCGUGAAGUCGGAGUCGCUAGUAAUCGCAGAUCAGCAACGCUGCGGUGAAUACGUUCCCGGGCCUU